GACGAACGCUGGCGGCGUGCUUAACACAUGCAAGUCGAACGGAAAGGCCUGCUUUCCCUUGUGGAUUGCGGGUACUCGAGUGGCGAACGGGUGAGUAACACGUGAGUGAUCUGCCCCCAACUUGGGUAUAAGCCUGGGAAACUGGGUCUAAUUCCCGAUAGGACUGCAGGGUGGUGCCUGUGGUGGAAAACGAUUUUCUAGUGGUUGGGGAUGAGCUCGCGGCCUAUCAGCUUGUUGGUGGGGUAAUGGCCUACCAAGGCGGCGACGGGUAGCCGGCCUGAGAGGGUGGACGGCCACAUUGGGACUGGGAUACGGCCCAGACUCCUACGGGAGGCAGCAGUGGGGAAUAUUGCGCAAUGGGCGGAAGCCUGAUGCAGCGACGCCGCGUGGGGGAUGACGGCCUUCGGGUUGUAAACUCCUUUCGACCGCGAGGAAGCCACCUGGUUGGAAGGGUGGUGACGGUAGUGGUAGAAGAAGCACCGGCUAACUACGUG
rnacentral:rRNA from 1 species